rnacentral:rRNA from 1 species
UACAGGGGGGGCAAGCGUUGUUCGGAAUUACUGGGUGUAAAGGGUUCGUAGGCGGUGUGGCAAGUCGGGAGUGAAAUCUCUGGGCUCAACCCAGAGGCUGCUUCCGAAACUGCUGUGCUUGAGUGUGGGAGAGGCGCGUGGAAUUGCAGGUGUAGCGGUGAAAUGCGUAGAUAUCUGCAGGAACACCCGUGGCGAAAGCGGCGCGCUGGACCACUACUGACGCUGAAGAACGAAAGCUAGGGGAGCAAACAGG